GCUCUUUAAUAUUCAUAUUUUAAUUAUUUAUUUCUCAAUACAAAUUCUUUUGAACUAAAAUUGUUGUCGUUUUUCUAAAAAAAAAAUAUUAAACAGUGUUAUAACGCUUUCACUGUUAAGUUUUAUUCGUUUCAGGUAUUUUCUUUUAUUUUUUAAUUUCUCAAAUAUUAUUAUUUUUUAUUUAAGUGCUGUAUUUGCAUACUUUUAAUGUAAUGUUAAUUGCUAUCUGCAGAGCUGUUAAUGAAGUGAAGGAACAUGUUUUUAACAGGUUUAUACAUAAAUUGAUGCAAAAGAGAUCGUGACUGGUGUAGAAAAAAAAAUAAUCGAAUAAAAACAUUAAAAAUAGUAAGAAUAAAUUUAAAAAAAUUUAAAAGAAAAAAAAAAAUAAAAAAAAUUUAAAAGAAAAAAAAUAAAAA